GAUCAACAAAUGAAUAGUGUUCAUAUAGUAGCAGAGAUAUGGUCUGCAAGUUUCUACCGGACUGCCGUAAAUGGUCCGACUAUGAGCGAAAGAUGUACUAGG
rnacentral:ncRNA from 2 species